UUGUCACUUAGAUACACUAGGAGAGGAAAACAAAACCGUUUAACAAUGAAGUACAUCUUUGCUCUACUGGUUUUGUUGCCAUUUGUGUUCUGUGCUCCCGAGGAAAGAUUCGUUUUGGAUACAUUUGGACUUGAUAAAGUAGUAGAACAAGUCAAACAGUUUGCCCAUUCAGGAAUGGCGGGAACUGCCUGCACAACUGAAUGCCAAAAUCUUGUUCACGGAUUCUUGGCAACUUUCUGCGGACCAGCCUGUACAACUGUCCUCAACUUGCUGAAGUAGGAAACUAACAUGAUAUGUUGAAUACAAGUGAACAAUUG